UACGAAGGGGGCUAGCGUUGUUCGGAAUCACUGGGCGUAAAGGGCGCGUAGGCGGCCGAUCAAGUCGGGGGUGAAAGCCUGUGGCUCAACCACAGAAUUGCCUUCGAUACUGUUUGGCUUGAGACCGGAAGAGGUAAGUGGAACUGCGAGUGUAGAGGUGAAAUUCGUAGAUAUUCGCAAGAACACCAGUGGCGAAGGCGGCUUACUGGUCCGGUUCUGACGCUGAGGCGCGAAGGCGUGGGGAGCAAACAGG
rnacentral:rRNA from 1 species